rnacentral:rRNA from 1 species
UCAGGUAGGGAUACCCGCUGAACUUAAGCAUAUCAAUAAGCGGAGGAAAAGAAACCAACAGGGAUUGCCUCAGUAACGGCGAGUGAAGCGGCAAGAGCUCAAAUUUGAAAUCUGGCCCCUUCGGGGUCCGAGUUGUAAUUUGUAGAGGAUGCUUCGGGUGCGGCCCCCGUCUAAGUGCUCUGGAACGGGCCAUCGGAGAGGGUGAGAAUCCCGUCUGGGACGGGGUGUCCGCGUCCAUGUGAAGCUCCUUCGACGAGUCGAGUUGUUUGGGAAUGCAGCUCUAAAUGGGUGGUAAAUUUCAUCUAAAGCUAAAUACUGGCCGGAGACCGAUAGCGCACAAGUAGAGUGAUCGAAAGAUGAAAAGCACUUUGAAAAGAGAGUUAAACAGCACGUGAAAUUGUUGAAAGGGAAGCGCUUGCGACCAGACUCGCUUCCGGGGUUCAGCCGGCUUUCGGGCCGGUGUACUUCCCCGGGGGCGGGCCAGCGUCGGUUUGGGCGGCCGGUCAAAGGCCCCUGGAAUGUAACGCCCCUCGGGGCGCCUUAUAGCCAGGGGUGUCAUGCGGCCAGCCUGGACCGAGGAACGCG